rnacentral:rRNA from 1 species
CAUAUCAAUAAGCGGAGGAAAAGAAACUAACAAGGAUUCCCCUAGUAACUGCGAGUGAAGCGGGAAGAGCUCAAAUUUAAAAUCUGGCGGUCUCGGCCGUCCGAGUUGUAACCUGGAGGAGCGUUUUCCGCGUCGGACCGUGUACAAGUCUCCUGGAACGGAGCGUCAUAGAGGGUGAGAAUCCCGUCCAUGACACGGACGCCCGAUGCUUUGUGAUACGCUCCCGAAGAGUCGCGUUGUUUGGGAAUGCAGCGCAAAAUGGGUGGUAAAUUCCAUCUAAGGCUAAAUGUUGGCGAGAGACCGAUAGCGAACAAGUACCGUGAGGGAAAGAUGAAAAGCGCUUUGGAAAGAGAGUUAAACAGUACGUGAAAUUGUUGAAAGGGAAACGCUUGAAGUCAGUCGCGUCCGGUGGAACUCAGCCUUGCUUCGGCCUGGUGUACUUUCCGCCGGACGGGUCAACAUCAAUUUCAGCCGGUGGACAAGGGCGAGGGGAAUGUAGCGUCGCUUCGGCGACGUGUUAUAGCCUCUCGCCGUAUGCACCGGCAGGGAUUGAGGACCGCAGCACGCCCUUGUGGCCGGGGGUUCGCCCCACGUAACGUGCUUAGGAU